rnacentral:sRNA from 1 species
UUAAUGCAUGAUCUCAUUCGGAAGCCAUC